rnacentral:snoRNA from 1 species
GUACAUUUUUCUGUUAAAAAUAUAUUUAAACUGUACAGUGCAACCAUAGGCAGUCACACACAUCAAAACAUAUGGUUCCUGCCGACAGGGUCUGUAUAGUUAUCAGAUUUCCUGUGCGAUGGCUCCAUACAUG